rnacentral:rRNA from 1 species
GAUGAACGCUAGCGAUAGGCUUAACACAUGCAAGUCGAGGGGCAGCAUGGUCUUAGCUUGCUAAGACUGAUGGCGACCGGCGCACGGGUGCGUAACGCGUAUGCAACUUGCCUCACAGAGGGGGAUAACCCGUCGAAAGACGGACUAAUACCGCGUACACUUGGGAUAGGGCAUCCUGACCCAAGGAAAUGAAAUUCGCUGUGAGAUAGGCAUGCGUCCCAUUAGCUAGUUGGUGAGGUAACGGCUCACCAAGGCGACGAUGGGUAGGGGAACUGAGAGGUUGAACCCCCACACUGGUACUGAGACACGGACCAGACUCCUACGGGAGGCAGCAGUGAGGAAUAUUGGUCAAUGGGCGAGAGCCUGAACCAGCCAAGUCGCGUGAAGGAUGACUGUCUUAUGGACUGUAAACUUCUUUUAUACGGGAAUAACAAGAGCCACGUGUGGCUCCCUGCAUGUACCGUAUGAAUAAGCAUCGGCUAACUCCGUG